UACGGGGGGGGCAAGCGUUGUUCGGAAUUACUGGGCGUAAAGGGUUCGUAGGUGGCUUGUUAAGUCAGACGUGAAAUCCCUCGGCCCAACCGGGGAACUGCGUCUGAGACUGAUGAGCUCGAGUGCAGGAGAGGAACGCGGAAUUCCAGGUGUAGCGGUGAAAUGCGUAGAUAUCUGGAGGAACACCGGUGGCGAAGGCGGCGUUCUGGACUGCAACUGACACUGAGGAACGAAAGCCAGGGGAGCAAACGGG
rnacentral:rRNA from 1 species